rnacentral:rRNA from 1 species
UUCCAGCUCCAAUAGCGUAUAUUAAAGUUGUUGCGGUUAAAAAGCUCGUAGUCGAAUCUGUGUCCCGCGCCGCCGGUUCAUCGUUCGCGGUGUUAACUGGCGUGCCGCGGGACGUCCUGCCGGUGGGCUUAGCUCGCAAGAGCGGCCCAACUCAAUCCCGCCGCGGUGCUCUUCACUGAGUGUCGAGGUGGGCCGGCACGUUUACUUUGAACAAAUUAGAGUGCUUAAAGCAGGCUAGAAUUUCGCCUGAAUACUGUGUGCAUGGAAUAAUGGAAUAGGACCUCGGUUCUAUUUUGUUGGUUUUCGGAACCCCGAGGUAAUGAUUAAUAGGAACGGAUGG